UGGGGAAUUUUGGACAAUGGGCGAAAGCCUGAUCCAGCAAUGCCGCGUGUGUGAAGAAGGCCUUCGGGUUGUAAAGCACUUUUGUCCGGAAAGAAAUCCUUGGCUCUAAUACAGUCGGGGGAUGACGGUACCGGAAGAAUAAGCACCGGCUAACUACGUGCCAGCAGCCGCGGUAAUACGUAGGGUGCAAGCGUUAAUCGGAAUUACUGGGCGUAAAGCGUGCGCAGGCGGUUUGCUAAGACCGAUGUGAAAUCCCCGGGCUCAACCUGGGAACUGCAUUGGUGACUGGCAGGCUAGAGUAUGGCAGAGGGGGGUAGAAUUCCACGUGUAGCAGUGAAAUGCGUAGAGAUGUGGAGGAAUACCGAUGGCGAAGGCAGCCCCCUGGGCCAAUACUGACGCUCAUGCACGAAAGCGUGGGGAGCAAACAGGAUUAGAUACCCUGGUAGUCCACGCCCUAAACGAUGUCAACUAGUUGUUGGGGAUUCAUUUCCUUAGUAACGUAGCUGACGCGUGAAGUUGACCGCCUGGGGAGUACGGUCGCAAGAUUAAAACUCAAAGGAAUUGACGGGGUCAUAGCUGUUUCCU
rnacentral:rRNA from 1 species